AGCAGCCGCGGUAAUUCCAGCUCCAAUAGCGUAUAUUAAAGUUGUUGCAGUUAAAAAGCUCGUAGUUGAAUUUCGGGAUUGGCGCAUCGGUCAUGCCUUCUCGGUAUGUACUGGUGAAGCCAAUCUCCCCCUUCUAGCGAAUCGGUAUGUCUUUAAUUAGGCGUAUCGAGGAGCUAGGACUGUUACUUUGAAAAAUUAGAGUGUUUAAAGCAGGCUUUAUGCUUGAAUAGAUUAGCAUGGAAUAACGGAAUAGGACGGCGUGAUUCUAUUUUGUUGGUUUCUAGGGUCACCGUAAUGAUUAAUAGGGAUAGUUGGGGGCAUUAGUAUUCAAUUGUCAGAGGUGAAAUUCUUGGAUUUAUUGAAGACUAACUACUGCGAAAGCAUUUGCCAAGGAUGUUUUCAUUAAUCA
rnacentral:rRNA from 1 species